ACGUUCAUCGGAGCAGGGUGAGUCGGCCCCUAAGGCGAGGCAGAGAUGCGUAGCUGAUGGGAAGCAGGUUAAUAUUCCUGCACCGUCGUAUGAUGCGAUGGGGGGACGGAUCGCGGAAGGUUGUCCAACGGUUGGAAGUGUUGGUUUUUGACUCAUAGAAGGCGCUUAGGCAAAUCCGGGCGCGGAAUUCAAGGGGUCGAGACGAGGAACUUAGGUUCUGAAGCAAUCGGAAGUGGUUCCAAGAAAAGCCUCUAAGCUUCAGUCAUACGAGACCGUACCGCAAACCGACACAGGUGGGCGAGAUGAGUAUUCUAAGGCGCUUGAG
rnacentral:rRNA from 1 species